UAAAAGAUAAGCUAAAAUUAAGCUAAUGGGUUCAUAUCUCAUUUAUGGAUUUAAAUUUUCCUCUUUUUA
rnacentral:tRNA from 1 species